UACAGAGGUCCCAAGCGUUGUUCGGAUUCAUUGGGCGUAAAGGGUGCGUAGGUGGCGCGCUAAGUCAGGUGUGAAAUUUCGGAGCUUAACUCCGAAACUGCAUUUGAUACUGGCGUGCUUGAGGACUGGAGAGGAGACUGGAAUUUACGGUGUAGCAGUGAAAUGCGUAGAGAUCGUAAGGAAGACCGAGUGGCGAAGGCGGGUCUCUGGACAGUUCCUGACACUGAGGCACGAAGGCCAGGGGAGCAAACGGG
rnacentral:rRNA from 1 species